rnacentral:tRNA from 1 species
ACUCUCUUAGUAUAAACAAUAUAACUGACUUCCAAUCAGUAGAUUCUGAGACCACGGAAGAGAGUA